UGGCCUAGAAGACAAACUGCCUUCCAGCCAGAAUCCCUUACCAUGGCUGAUACAGCGUGCUUGGGAAGCAGGUACAUGGUGACCUCCGCAGAUGGCAGCCAGCAGCAAAACCGUGGCUGGACCUGCAGCGAUACAGCACAACAGAAAGGGCUGGCACUUUGGAUUGCAACAUUACUGAAACGAAGAGCGUGAACACUACAGGAAUUUCUGCUCUAUGGAAAAAUGUUAUUUUUGGAUUCUUCAGGAAGGCGUGCGUAUAAAACCACCGGUUCCCUGGUGGAUCACAGCAAACAAAUAUCCAAAUAAGCCACUACAUUGGAGAGCAAGGCCUUUUAACGCUCUCUCAAGAAUUAUUCUACGAUGACCAGUUUUUCCCUCUACACUGCAGAAAACUGCAUGUUAAGGUGUAGCAGCCAACUCUGAGGAGACACUUUGCGUGUGCCUCAUCAGCCCUUGCAGUGAUGCCACAGGGAUUUGCCAGCAGCAGAGAGGACAGCCCAGGGAUUCCUGGACAGGCUCCAGGGAUCUUCUGCUAGGUGACAAGGUGACAGCUUCAGCCUGAACUGGAAUUGGGCCGCCUACAGGAUGAGAUGGACGAGAGCUGCUAGGUGUCAGGGUGGGUGGUCCUGAGCUCCAGGACACCUCCAGCCCCUACGCCAAGAAGUCGGCAUAAGGGGUUGAAUCCUCUGGGGGACAGUUCCUGCAAACGAUCGAGUGCUUGAAACCAAACAGAAAGCAGCCCACGUGUUUGUGCAGGAGGCUGAAACUGUGACACUUAGACGUGUGUUGUCCAUUUAGCCGAGUUUGCUUGCUUGGAGACUUGAGACUGUACAAGUCAGCAAGAUGUGAUUUGAAAAAACCUCUGCUGUACCGCAGAGCUUCUACUCACUGACAAGUUCAACAUCUGGCAAAUACUACGAAAGGUUACGUGAGCAAAGUGCAAUGAUCUAGCGGUACCCGCGCUGCUUGGAAGGGGACAGCACCCCCAGCAUCGCGCCGACCUAUCGCUCCUAUGGAUUUUUGAUACAGUGCAAAUUGCACAGCGGUUGCAAUACUCUAAAUACUCUAAAAAGAGAUUGCCAGAGUUUCAGUAUUGCACUUUUUGUUGGGUAGAGCAGCCUGCCGAGAUCCAGAGCCAGUCAGAGGUUUGCUUCUUGCUUCAUGACUCCCCAAAAUCCAAUUAUUGUGAGCUCUUUUCAGGAGAGAUCCUGCCAUAUCUGCAUCAGGACAACUCGCACAGAAAGCCAUCACACCUUGCCAGUAAAGCAUUCAUUAUCAUGCUUGGUGAACACAAUGACAGAGAUUGCAAAAACAAACAAACAAGAAAACAAACCUUUAAAGUGGGACGGGGAGUGGUGGCUCUUGAGAAAUGAUCUUUCAUGAGAUUAAGAGGUUGCCGCAUAAAAACGCAGCCUUCCCUAUACCAUUAAAAUGCAAUGCACCUCAGGCCAAAAGAACAAUCUGUGCAGCUAUUUUUAGGAAGCCUGUUGGUUUGGGAAAGUCUCAGAGGAAUUCCCUUGCUCUCAGUCCCAUCUUAAAAAAUAAAAAAAAAAAGGAAAAAAAGGGUCCAAAUUCCAGUUCUGUACAAGCGUUGCGUUGGGGAUGAAGUCAAAAUAAGUAACUUCCCAUUCCUCGAUUUGCAUUUUCCAUCUAGAAAACAAGUGAAUAAAUACAAAUAUGUAUGAGACAACCUAUAUUCACGAAAAUUCCUUCUGAAGAUUUUGCGGAAGAUCAGCCCGUAGGUACACAAGGAUUUUGGAUGAGGAUUCAGAUGAGGAUCUUGCUGAAUGAGCACAGAGCAAUGGGCCACUUCUGCCUCUGGUGGAACUUGUUCACUCUCAGCUAAAAGGUUUUGGGGACGGGGCUGGGAGCAGUUCAGCCCUGGUCAUAUUAGUGGAAGCUUUGCCACAGGUUAGAUGUAACGUUAAUCCUUGAAGUUUGGUCUUUAAAAAGAAUUUUUACUGGAGGAAGAGCUGGCUCCCAAAUAGUACCAGGGACUGGAUCUUUUAUCCAAGCUCUACAGGACUAUCCCAUUCUGGAUCCCUUUGGCGUGUGUCAAAAUAGGAAACGUUGCACGUGGGUGAACUUCCACACACUUUGUUCCGUCUAUCUGCAAAAUGUAGGCUAGUGCUUAUGGUAUCAUUUUGGAUGAAAAGUACUCCUUGACAUUUAAUUAUUAUCAGAAUUAGUCAUUAGUACUGUCGUCAUCACAAGGAGUUUUGCCACUGAUGUAGUAGGACCAGACCUUGGAGCCAGAGUUAGGUCAGCACUUCUCAUGUGAUUGUAGGAAGGUGCUUGUGUUUGGGAUGUAGCGUGUGAAAACACUGUGUGGGGAACAGAUUUAACUGAGGACAUUUAUCAGUCCCCAAACUUCUUUUAGGCUCCUUUCACCCUAAAAUUGUCUGAGACCCUGUCUUUACUGAAGGAUGAGAGACGCUAGAUCCAGGUUCCAGUCUUUAUGCUUGAUGAGCUAUUAGAAUGGGAAUUUGUUGCCCAACUCUUGGUUGGGAAACCUGAAAUUCAGAAAAAGCACUCACCUUCAAAGGAAUGCUGGAGCACAGGAGCAUCUUAGCCCAUGGCUGUGCUCAGCUGGCUGGUUGCAGCAGCGUCCUGCGCUGAUGGGUUUGACGCAGAGCACUGUAGAGCCUCUUUUCUUGCAGUGAUCGCUGCUUCGCACAGCAACCCAGGGACAGCAGCUCCUGCUAAGCUUGUGGAGGGCCUCGCACAGGGCCGUGAUGCUGGACCCAUGCAACCAGCCCUCUUCCACACUGGCCAGACCCUGCAGCACCUCCAGCCCUGCCAGCCCUGGGGCUCAGCAGGAGACGAUGCCCCACGACAAGGCAAGCAUCCAGCAUGUCCCUCUGGGAAUCGGGGGCUCCUGGCUGCCCCCUUCGCCGGGCUCUCUUUCCGCUGCCCCAGGCGCUGACUUUCCCGACUGAGAUACCAGAGAUUGGAUGGAUUAUCUACUGGCUGUUUCCAGACUGCUGUUUGUUUGGAGAAAUCAUGUUGGAGAUAAGAUGUUAAAAUACAGAUAAUUAAGUUGUCUUGAUAUGAGUGUAAUUCUGAAUUGAGAUUUAAAUAGCCUGCUUUGAAUUAUGCCUUACAUGCCUCUCCAUGGCUUUGCUUUGGGUCUCUGCUGAAGGAGACGAGGGGGAGAGCCCUGCAUUGUUGACAUUUGCUCUACAAAAACUUUUCCAGCUCUUCUUAGGGCCUUUUUCAGAGAAUGAAACCAGUUCAACCACUUCCCCAUGAACAUUAUGUUCUUUACAGAGCCAAGGAGCAGACUGUACUGCUGGGCUGGCUGUGAUUCAUUCCUUUGCGUUUCUCUCAUUAACACCUCUUCGUCUCACACCGGGGAAAUUUGGGAAGUUUCAUCUUGAACAGAGGGCAAAUUGAACUGCGAGGAGACCCUCCUUAACAAUGUGCAAAGCCCUUACACAUGCACGUAAAAGAAAAUAGAAAAGCCUUCCAAACCUGAGGGCCCUGCUGUCAAUUAUGGAA